UACGUAGGGGGCAAGCGUUGUCCGGAAUCAUUGGGCGUAAAGCGCGUGUAGGCGGUCCGAUAAGUCGGUUGUGAAAGUCCAGGGCUCAACCCUGGGAUGCCGACCGAUACUGUCGGACUAGAGUUCGGAAGAGGCGAGUGGAAUUCCCGGUGUAGCGGUGAAAUGCGCAGAUAUCGGGAGGAACACCAAUGGCGAAGGCAGGUCUCUGGGCCGAUACUGACGCUGAGGAGCGAAAGCGUGGGGAGCGAACAGG
rnacentral:rRNA from 1 species